CCCUUUGUGAACAUACCUAUAACUGUCUGCUUCGGCGGGUAGGGUCUCCGUGACCCUCCCGGCCUCCCGCCCCCGGGCGGGUCGGCGCCCGCCGGAGGAUAACCAAACUCUGAUUUAACGACGUUUCUUCUGAGUGGUACAAGCAAAUAAUCAAAACUUUUAACAACGGAUCUCUUGGUUCUGGCAUCGAUGAAGAACGCAGCGAAAUGCGAUAAGUAAUGUGAAUUGCAGAAUUCAGUGAAUCAUCGAAUCUUUGAACGCACAUUGCGCCCGCCAGCAUUCUGGCGGGCAUGCCUGUUCGAGCGUCAUUUCAACCCUCAAGCUCUGCUUGGUGUUGGGGCCCUACAGCUGAUGUAGGCCCUCAAAGGUAGUGGCGGACCCUCCCGGAGCCUCCUUUGCGUAGUAACUUUACGUCUCGCACUGGGAUCCGGAGGGACUCUUGCCGUAAAACCCCCAAUUUUCCAAAGGUUGACCUCGGAUCAGGUAGGAAUACCCGCUGAACUUAAGCAUAUCAAUAAGCGGAGGAAAAGAAACCAACAGGGAUUGCCUCAGUAACGGCGAGUGAAGCGGCAACAGCUCAAAUUUGAAAUCUGGCCCUAGGCCCGAGUUGUAAUUUGCAGAGGAUGCUUUUGGUGCGGUGCCUUCCAAGUUCCCUAGAACGGGACGCCAGAGAGGGUGAGAGCCCCGUACAGUUGGACACCAAGCCUUUGUAAAGCUCCUUCGACGAGUCGAGUAGUUUGGGAAUGCUGCUCAAAAUGGGAGGUAUAUUUCUUCUAAAGCUAAAUACCGGCCAGAGACCGAUAGCGCACAAGUAGAGUGAUCGAAAGAUGAAAAGCACUUUGAAAAGAGGGUUAAACAGCACGUGAAAUUGUUAAAAGGGAAGCGCUUGUGACCAGACUUGCGUCCGGUGAAUCACCCAGCUCUCGCGGCUGGGGCACUUCGCCGGCUCAGGCCAGCAUCAGCUCGCUGUCGGGGACAAAAGCUUCAGGAACGUAGCUCUCUUCGGGGAGUGUUAUAGCCUGUUGCAUAAUACCCUUCGGCGGGCUGAGGUACGCG
rnacentral:rRNA from 1 species